rnacentral:siRNA from 1 species
AGGUACAACUACGUUAUUACUGA